rnacentral:rRNA from 1 species
UCGGAAUUGCUAGUAAUCGCGGAUCAGCAUGCCGCGGUGAAUACGUUCCCGGGCCUUGUACACACCGCCCGUCACACCAUGAGAGUUGGAGAUACCCGAAGCCUGUGAGCUAACAAACGAGGCAGCAGUCGAAGGUANAAUCAAUGAUUGGGGCGAAGUCGUAACAAGGUAGC